CGACCUGCGGGUUGAAACCAGCUAACUGGGCUGCCCUGCGCUCAGCGCUGGGAGGCCGGGUGGAGGAAUCUAGGGUGCAGCGCGAGGAGUGAGGCUCCUCCCGGAUACCUUGACACAACACGGUGUCGCUCCGGUGAAGAGUUGCCCGUGUCUGUGCAGGAACGAGAACGCCAAGGGAGACGACACCCAGAACAGGCGGCUGCACCCAGGGAUGCGAAGCGGGAUGCGGAGCUUGCCUUUGAAAUCGGAUGCAUUCCACUUCCUGCUUGUCCGCUGCGAUCCUGCAAUCCUUCUUUUGCUUCUCUUCUUCUUUCUUGUCCCUUCCCAAUGUCUACCUUAUAGGAUAAUCGUCAGGAUUGCGUGAGAAAACGCACCGAACAAGCCCUGCCGUGAUGACGGAGACGACUAAGAUGCGCCUACGAGUCAUUUUCAAUCUAUUUGGAGACAAGAACUUUGCAGAACGUGGUAAAUAAAGGCUUCCACCGAGACACAAGAAACUCCUAUAUAUCCUAGCUCCUCCCUGACCUCUUUGAAACAGACCCUGAGAGCCAUCUGAGAGGCUGUAUCCCAGGCUUAAGCCCUCAGUC